GGUUGCUUGCAAGGGCGUAUGGUGGAUGCCUUGGCAGACAGUACCGAUGAAGGACGUUUGAGGCUGCGAUAUGCCUCGGGGAGCCGCCAGCAGGGCUUUGAUCCGAGGAUUUCCGAAUGGGGGAACCCGCCGGCCGUCAUGGGCCGGCACCGCGUUCGCGCGGGGGGUACGCAGGGAAGUGAAACAUCUCAGUACCUGCAGGAAAGGAUGUUCCGUGAGUAGUGGCGAGCGAAAGCGGAUCAGGCCAAACCGCGCGCGUGUGACAGGCGCCAGCCGUUGCGCGCGUGGUGUUGAGGGAGCGUGUGUCCGGGUCCUGGCGGGCCCGGCCGGAGUGAUAAAACGGCGUGUGAGGCGAACCGGAUUGAAUGCCGGGCCGCAGAGGGUGAUGGCCCCGUAGCCGAACGCGCGUCGUCUCCGGAUCGUGUUUCCCAAGUAGCGCGGGACUCGUGGAAUCCCGUGUGAAUCCGCCCCGACCGUGGGGUAAGCCUAGAUAUACCUGUCUGACCGAUAGCGAACUAGUACCGUGAGGGAAAGGUGAAAAGCACCCCGGGAGGGGAGUGAAACAGUCUCUGAAACCGUGCGCUUACAAACCGUCGGAGCCUUUCGGGGUGACGGCGUGCCUAUCGAAAAAUGAGUCUGCGAGUCAGUGGCACGUGGCGAGCGUAACCCGUGUGGGGUACGCGUAGCGAAGGCGAGUCUCAAAAGGCGUUUGAGUCGCGUGUCCUGGACCCGAAGCGGGAUGAUCUAGCCCUGGGCAGGUUGAAGCGCGGGUAAGACCGCGUGGAGGACCGAACCCACCUGGGUUGAAAACCGGGGGGAUGACCUGGGGCUAGGGGUGAAAGGCCAAUCAAAUUCCGUGAUAGCUGGUUCUCUCCGAAAUGCAUUUAGGUGCAGCGUCGGUCGAUUGCGUCGCGGGGGUAGAGCUACCGGAUGCUUGCGGGCCCUUGUUGGGUACCAACAGCAGCCGAACUCCGAAUACCGUUGACGUGUAUUCCGGCAGUGAGUCGGCGGGGGAUAAGCUCCGUCGUCGAGAGGGAGACAGCCCAGAUCGUCGUCUAAGGUCCCGAAGCGUGUGCUAAGUGGGAAAGGAUGUGGAGUCGCAUAGACAGCCAGGAGGUUGGCUCAGAAGCAGCCAUCCUUGAAAGAGUGCGUAACAGCUCACUGGUCUAGUGGUUCCGCGCCGACAAUGUAGCGGGGCUCAAGCACGCCACCGAAGACGCGGCAGCGUCCGUUUGGAUGCUGGGUAGGAGAGCGUCCCCAUCGGGGCGAAGCGGCGGCGCAAGCCUGCCGUGGACCGUUGGGGAGUGAGAAUGCAGACAUGAGUAGCGAGAGGCGGGUGCGAAUCCCGCCCGCUGGAUGACCAAGGGUUCCGGGGCCACGUUCGUCGUCCCCGGGUGAGUCGGGUCCUAAGGCGAGGCCGACAGGCGUAGUCGAAUGGAUGAACGGGUGGAUAUUCCCGUACCGACCAUGGACCGGCAAAACCGAGACGGUGAGUACUAACCUCCGCCUCGUGGUGGUUCCUUCCUUCGGGUUGGUAUCGCCGCGUGGUGUUGGGAGCGUAGCCGCAGUAGGUCAGCGCAGGGGUGACACGGAAUGGGAGCCGGCCGCGGAGGUGGUUUUCCGUGGUCAAGCACGCAGCCAGUCAUGUAGGCAAAUCCGCAUGGCGCGCAUGGCGAGGUGUGAUGAUGGGAGCCGUUAUGGCUCGAUAUCCGGUUGUCCAGGCCGUCGAGAAAAGCCUCGGCGUGAGGGCCAUGGCCGCCCGUACCCCAAACCGACACUGGUGGUCAGGUAGAGAAUACCAAGGCGAUCGAGCGAAUCCUGGUCAAGGAACUCGGCAAAUCACUCCCGUGCCUUCGGUAUAAGGGAGACCCCUGAUGGUGAUGGAACUUGCUUCCGGAGCUUUCGGGGGUGGCACAGACCAGGGGGUAGCGACUGUUUACCAAAAACACAGGUGCAUGCGAAGGCGAAAGCCGCUGUAUAUGCACUGACGCCUGCCCGGUGCCGGAAGGUUAAGAGGAUCCGUCAGUCCCUUCGGGGACGAAGCGGUGAAUUCAAGCCCCGGUAAACGGCGGUGGUAACUAUAACCAUCCUAAGGUAGCGAAAUUCCUUGUCGGGUAAGUUCCGACCUGCACGAAUGGCGUAACGACUUCCCCGCUGUCUCCAACAUAGACUCAGCGAAAUUGAAUUCUGAGUUAAGAUGCUCAGUACCCGCGGUUAGACGGAAAGACCCCGUGAACCUUUACUAUAGCUUUGCAGUGGUAUUAGGUGACAAAUGUGUAGGAUAGGUGGGAUGCUAUGAAGUUAUGACGCUAGUUGUAAUGGAGCAGACGUUGAAAUACCACCCUUUUGUUAUUUGAUAUCUAACCUGCUUCCGUUAUCCGGAAGAGGGACCCUGCAUGGUGGGUAGUUUGACUGGGGCGGUCGCCUCCCAAAGAGUAACGGAGGCGCGCAAAGGUUGGCUCAGAUUGGUCGGAAAUCAAUCGUUGAGUGCAAUGGCAUAAGCCAGCCUGACUGCGAGAGCGACAGUUCGAGCAGAGACGAAAGUCGGUCAUAGUGAUCCGGUGGUCCCGAGUGGAAGGGCCAUCGCUCAACGGAUAAAAGGUACUCCGGGGAUAACAGGCUGAUUCCGCCCAAGAGUUCACAUCGACGGCGGAGUUUGGCACCUCGAUGUCGGCUCAUCACAUCCUGGGGCUGGAGAAGGUCCCAAGGGUUCGGCUGUUCGCCGAUUAAAGUGGUACGCGAGCUGGGUUUAGAACGUCGUGAGACAGUUCGGUCCCUAUCUGCCGUGGGUGUAGGAUACUUGAAAGGAUUUGUCCUUAGUACGAGAGGACCGGGAUGAACAUACCUCUGGUGUACCAGUUGUUUCGCCAGAAGCAACGCUGGGUAGCUAAGUAUGGAAGGGAUAACCGCUGAAUGCAUCUAAGCGGGAAACCCACCUUGAAACUAGGUAUCCCAAUUAAGACCGUGGUAGACCACCACGUUGAUAGGUUGGGUGUGUAAGCACAGCAAUGUGUUUAGCUAACCAAUACUAAUAGUCUGAUUGGCUUGAUUUA
rnacentral:rRNA from 1 species